AACGUAGGACACAAGCGUUAUCCGGAGUUACUGGGCGUAAAGGGCGCGUAGGCGGUCAGCACAAGUCAGUUGUGAAAUCUCCGGGCUUAACUCGGAAAGGUCAACUGAUACUGUGCGACUAGAGUGCGGAAGGGGCAACUGGAAUUCUCGGUGUAGCGGUGAAAUGCGUAGAUAUCGAGAGGAACACCUGCGGCGAAGGCGGGUUGCUGGGCCGACACUGACGCUGAUGCGCGAAAGCCAGGGGAGCGAACGGG
rnacentral:rRNA from 1 species